CUGCACCAGAUACGAGCCUGACAGUCUACAUCCCUGGUGUGCUGCACACCGGGGUUUGUCUGUGGCUGCGUGGCUUCAAACGGUGCAAGAGGAACUUAAGCCAUGAGAUUUAAGCCCAUCAGUGGAGAGCGACACUGAAGAGUUAUAACUCAGAGGCACAGAU